rnacentral:rRNA from 1 species
CCCUUAGAUGUUCUGGGCCGCACGCGUGCUACACUGAGUGGAUCAGCGGGUCAGGUUGCGCGAAAGCGUUUCCUAAUCUUUAAAUCCGCUCGUGAUGGGGAUUGACGGUUGCAAUUUUCUGUCAUGAACGAGGAAUACCUUGUAAGCGCGGGUCAUCAUCCCGCGCUGAAUACGUCCCUGCCCUUUGUACACACCGCCCGUCGCUCCUACCGAUUUGAGUGAUCCGGUGAACCUUUUGGACCGGGCCGUUCGCGGCCUGGGAAAUCAAGUAAACCACGUCACUUAGAGGAAGGAGAAGUCGUAACA